rnacentral:rRNA from 1 species
ACGAGUGGCGAACGGGUGAGUAAUAUAUCGGAACGUGCCCAGUCGUGGGGGAUAACGCAGCGAAAGCUGUGCUAAUACCGCAUACGAUCUACGGAUGAAAGCGGGGGAUCGCAAGACCUCGCGCGAUUGGAGCGGCCGAUAUCAGAUUAGGUUGUUGGUAGGGUAAAGGCCUACCAAGCCGACGAUCAGUAGCUGGUCUGAGAGGACGACCAGCCACACUGGGACUGAGACACGGCCCAGACUCC